UCUUGCGCAAUGGGCGAAAGCCUGACGCAGCGACGCCGCGUGAGGGAUGAAGGCCUUCGGGUUGUAAACCUCUGUCAGGGGGGAAGAAUCCGGAGUCGGUGAAUAACCGGCUCCAUUGACGGUACCCCCAGAGGAAGCACCGGCUAACUCCGUGCCAGCAGCCGCGGUAAGACGGAGGGUGCAAACGUUGUUCGGAAUCACUGGGCGUAAAGGGCGCGUAGGCGGACUUGUAAGUCGGGAGUGAAAACUCGGGGCUCAACCCCGAGCCUGCUUCCGAAACUGCGAGUCUUGAGGACCGGAGAGGAAAGUGGAAUUCCUAGUGUAGCGGUGGAAUGCGUAGAUAUUAGGAAGAACACCAGUGGCGAAGGCGACUUUCUGGACGGUUCCUGACGCUGAGGCGCGAAAGCUAGGGGAGCAAACAG
rnacentral:rRNA from 1 species